AGGGCACCACCAGGAGUGGAGCCUGCGGCUUAAUUUGACUCAACACGGGAAAACUUACCCGGCCCGGACACUGGAAGGAUUGACAGAUUGAGAGCUCUUUCUUGAUUCAGUGGGUGGUGGUGCAUGGCCGUUCUUAGUUGGUGGAGCGAUUUGUCUGGUUAAUUCCGAUAACGAACGAGACUCUAGCCUACUAAAUAGACUGUUCAGCUUUAUAGCCGGAAUCACCGGGCAUGUAGCUCUCACGGGUUGCAUGUUCGGCUCUGGUGACGUUGGCAGUGCUUCUUAGAGGGACAGGCGGCGGUUCAGCCGCACGAAACAGAGCAAUAACAGGUCUGUGAUGCCCUUAGAUGUCCGGGGCUGCACGCGCGCUACACUGAAGUGAUCAGCGUGCAAUUUACGUUUGGUGAUCUGUCAAGAUUGCCCAACCCGUUGAACCUUCUUCGUGAUUGGGAUAGGGGAUUGUAAUUAUUCCCCUUGAACGAGGAAUUCCCAGUAAGCGCAAGUCAUAAGCUUGCGUUG
rnacentral:rRNA from 1 species